rnacentral:rRNA from 1 species
GACGAACGCUGGCGGCGUGCUUAACACAUGCAAGUCGAACGGAAAGGCCCUUCGGGGUACUCGAGUGGCGAACGGGUGAGUAACACGUGGGUGAUCUGCCCUGCACUUUGGGAUAAGCCUGGGAAACUGGGUCUAAUACCGAAUAGGAUCAUGCUCUUCAUGGGGUGUGGUGGAAAGCUUUUGCGGUGUGGGAUGGGCCCGCGGCCUAUCAGCUUGUUGGUGGGGUAAUGGCCUACCAAGGCGACGACGGGUAGCCGGCCUGAGAGGGUGACCGGCCACACUGGGACUGCGACACGGCCCAGACUCCUACGGGAGGCAGCAGUGAGGAAUAUUGCACAAUGGGCGCAAGCCUGAUGCAGCAACGCCGCGUGAGGGACGACGGCCUUCGGGUUGUAAACCUCUUUUAGUAGGGAAGAAGCGAAAGUGACGGUACCUGCAGAAAGAGCACCGGCUAACUACGUGCCAGCCGCCGCAGUAAAAC